AAACGCCCCACAAGGUACCACACCAACACACGGAUUGUAUACGACUCAACAAGGACGAAAGACUCACGAGACGCUGACUGGAACACCCAAAUAGUGUUGCGUAGAAAAUAAGUUCCCAGCGCUCUAUACUACCCCAAAGAAGCAAAGGAACAAAUUUGUAGAAAGGAAAAAAAAAUUCAAAAAUUUUCGAUACUUGGUGUUUUUCUUCUUCGUUGCUUUUCUCUUACUUUUUUUUGUUUUUUGUUUUUGUUUUUUUUUAACUUAUGUGAUACGUAAAUUCUGAUGAACUCAAGAACGGGUAUGAUAAACGGAUGGAAUUAUAGAGUAUGGAAUGGUGGAAUAAGUUUGCAUGAGUAUGGAAUGAUGGAAUAGGUGUGAAUUAUGGAAUUAUGGAGUAUGGAAUAGGUGUAUAUGGAAAACAAAAACCCUAGCAAACGUCUACCCUUGAACGAAGACGGAAACGAAAC
rnacentral:lncRNA from 1 species